rnacentral:rRNA from 1 species
AGUGAACGCUGGCGGUAGGCCUAACACAUGCGAGUCGAACGGCAGCGCAGUAAGAGCUUGCUCUUACGGGUGGCGAGUGGCGGACGGGUGAGGAAUACAUCGGAAUCUACUUUUUCGUGGGGGAUAACGUAGGGAAACUUACGCUAAUACCGCAUACGACCUACGGGUGAAAGCAGGGGAUCUUCGGACCUUGCGCGAUUGAAUGAGCCGAUGUCGGAUUAGCUAGUUGGCGGGGUAAAGGCCCACCAAGGCGACGAUCCGUAGCUGGUCUGAGAGGAUGAUCAGCCACACUGGAACUGAGACACGGUCCAGACUCCUACGGGAGGCAGCAGUGGGGAAUAUUGGACAAUGGGCGCAAGCCUGAUCCAGCCAUACCGCGUGGGUGAAGAAGGCCUUCGGGUUGUAAAGCCCUUUUGUUGGGAAAGAAAAGCAGCAGGUUAAUACCCCGCUGUUCUGACGGUACCCAAAGAAUAAGCACCGGCUAACUUCGUG